CUGUGAUCAAGGGCAAGGACAAACCCACAGGGGAGCUUCAAAGUUCUAUUUCUCACCUAAAGAAGAUUCAGAAGAUCAGUAAACCAAAGGUGAAGACUGGAGACGUACUGCCAGUGGCGUCAUCACCUCCCAGCAAAAAGACAAAAGGCAACAAGGGGAGAGCCCCUGCACAUGGAUCCUUUGGACCAGAGUUCUGGUGAGCUGCUACCAAAUGUAAAGACUGGAGACGUGCUGCCUUGGGCAUCAUCACCUCCUAACAAAAAGACAAUGAAGGUAACAAGGGAAGAGCCACUACACAUAUAACACUGGUGGAUCUUACAUGUGUUGCACCUAUCAGGCAUCGUGAAUUGGGAUGAUAUAACUAAUAUUGCUGCUACCAUUUAUAUAUACAGCAAAGAAACACCAAAAGUGUUCUCACUUUUUA